AACUCUCGGCAACAGAUAUCUCGGCUCUCGCAUCGAUGAAGAAUGUAGCGAAAUGCGAUACCUGGUGUGAAUUGCAGAAUCCCGCGAACCAUCGAGUCUUUGAACGCAAGUUGCGCCCGAGGCCACUCGGCCGAGGGCACGACUGCCUGGGCGUCA
rnacentral:rRNA from 1 species